GCACUGGUGGUUUAGUGGUAAAAUUGGCGCUUGCCAUCUGAGUAAUGUGCGCGCGGCGCUUCCUACUCUUCGAAAGCUGCGCCAGCCCCGGGUUCGAUUCCCGGCCAAUGCA
rnacentral:tRNA from 1 species